UUCUAUUAGAUAUAAUUAAUAGUAAAAUCUGCUCAAUGAUAUAUUAAAUAGCCGCAAUUGUGCUAAGGUAGCAUAAUCAUUUGUCUUUUAAUUAAAGACUAGAACAAAAGAUUUAACAUUUAAAAUUAUUUCUUUAAUUUAUAUAUUAAAACUAUCUUAAAAGUAAAAAGACUUUUAUAAAAAAGAAAGACGAUAAGACCCUAUUGAAUUUUACUAUAGUUUCACUGGGGCAGUAAGUUAAUUAAUAUUUUAAUUAAAAUUAUUAUUAAAUUGAUCUAAUAAAAUUAAUUACAUGAACAAAUUACCUUAGGGAUAACAGCGUAAUAAAAUUUUAAAGAUCUUAUCAAAAAUAAUGAUUGCGACCUCGAUGUUGAUUAAUUUUCUUUUCCACGCAAUAGUAGAAAUAGAAAGUCUGUUCGACUCUUAAAAAAUUACA
rnacentral:rRNA from 1 species